AGUUGUCUGAAAAUGUUUU
rnacentral:miRNA from 1 species